rnacentral:rRNA from 1 species
GAUGACCCUUUGGGGCGUGCUUAACACAUGCAAGUCGAGCGAAGCAGUUAAGUUGAUUUCUUCGGAUUGAUUCUUAACUGACUGAGCGGCGGACGGGUGAGUAACGCGUGGGUGACCUGCCCCAUACCGGGGGAUAACAGCUGGAAACGGCUGCUAAUACCGCAUAAGCGCACAGAGCUGCAUGGCUCGGUGUGAAAAACUCCGGUGGUAUGGGAUGGGCCCGCGUCUGAUUAGGCAGUUGGCGGGGUAACGGCCCACCAAACCGACGAUCAGUAGCCGGCCUGAGAGGGCGACCGGCCACAUUGGGACUGAGACACGGCCCAAACUCCUACGGGAGGCAGCAGUGGGGAAUAUUGCACAAUGGGGGAAACCCUGAUGCAGCGACGCCGCGUGAGCGAAGAAGUAUUUCGGUAUGUAAAGCUCUAUCAGCAGGGAAGAUAAUGACGGUACCUGACUAAGAAGCCCCGGCUAACUACGUGCCAGCAGCCGCGGUAAUACGUAGGGGGCAAGCGUUAUCCGGAUUUACUGGGUGUAAAGGGAGCGUAGACGGCAAGGCAAGUCUGAUGUGAAAACCCAGGGCUUAACCCUGGGACUGCAUUGGAAACUGUCUGGCUCGAGUGCCGGAGAGGUAAGCGGAAUUCCUAGUGUAGCGGUGAAAUGCGUAGAUAUUAGGAAGAACACCAGUGGCGAAGGCGGCUUACUGGACGGUAACUGACGUUGAGGCUCGAAAGCGUGGGGAGCAAACAGGAUUAGAUACCCUGGUAGUCCACGCCGUA